AGAGUGAACGCUGGCGGUAGGCCUAACACAUGCAAGUCGAACGGCAGCACAGUAGGAGCUUGCUCUUACGGGUGGCGAGUGGCGGACGGGUGAGGAAUACAUCGGAAUCUACCUUUUUGGUGGGGGAUAACGUAGGGAAACUUACGCUAAUACCGCAUACGCCCUUCGGGGGAAAGCCGGGGACCAGCAAUGGCCUGGCGCUGAUAGAUGAGCCGAUGUCGGAUUAGCUAGUUGGUGAGGUACUGGCUCACCAAGGCGACGAUCCGUAGCUGGUCUGAGAGGAUGAUCAGCCACACGUGGAACUGAGACACGGUCCAGACUC
rnacentral:rRNA from 1 species